GUUUUGUGGUCAGCGAUGCUCUUGAACCUGAUAACCCUAUCAUUUAUGUUAACACUGUUUUUGAGAUUGUUACUGGUUAUCGAGCUGAGGAAGUUAUUGGUCGAAAUUGGUGAGUUUUCUCUUCUUGACUUUUACCUUAAAUUUGUGGUGAUGAUUUUGUUACUGUAGCGAGUCUUUGUCCGUUUUGUGGUAUUGGUACGAUGUAACUAAGAGAGCUUGUUGAGAGCUAUUUUGACAGAAAGCUUAUGGUUCUUGUUGAUUAUAUUGGCAUAUUGUUAGGUAUUCUUAGUUGGGAAAUGUCGAAAUCAUAGGAUUUGAAAUUGGUUAUAGAGGAACAAGGCUAUAAUGUGAGAGUUAGAUGUUAGUCUUUGUGAUAAGACUUGGAACUUUCGUCUUUGUGAUAUGUUUUCUUCUCUCAUGCAUUGUUGAAUUAGUAUUUCUGAUGUGUUUUCUUCUCUCAUGCAUUGUUAAACUGUUAAUAUCUUUGCUUCAUCACACAAAAUGUUAUUGGAAAUGCGUUCUGUCAUAUUAUAUGUCUGUUGAACUUAUUCUUAUCCUUGUAAAAGUCUUGUGUCCUUAAGGGGGAAUGGAUCGAAACAUGGUUCUUGUAUCUAGCAUGAUAAUCAUGUAUCAUCCAUACAUGCUGCUAAUGCUGGUAAUAUCACUUUAUACCAUAUGUGUUAGCAUCUUUUACACUUUUUGUUUGUUUGUUUGCUCUAAGCUUUGUUUGUUGCUUUUGUUUAGGUCUUGUAAAUGCUUUAAACUUGAUUAAGGAUAUCAAAGAAAAAUACCCUAGGUCAAUGAUUCAUAGGUUCUGAUUUGUUUAGAAAGUAUGAAAUUUUUUAACGUGAAUCUUUUGGUUAUGAAUCAUAUUGUAUGCAAUCGUUUAUUUAGGUACAACUGGUAUAUUUAGGUACAACUACGUAUAGGUACAACUGGUAUAUUUUGGUUUUGUAGUGUUGCUCUGUCAAAGAUAGAGGAUAAGUGGAAGGAAGAGCUUGAUCAAGAACUGGAAAGAAAGCGCACAAGUCAAGUCUGCACGUACUUGUGGAUUAAGAUUGCACAUGACUUAUGUUUUUGUAUUUUGUUGUAUUGUGGAUUAAGAACAUAUGACUUCGUAUUUUUGUAAACCAAAAAAAUAUUUAGAUUAUAUUUAUGUUCAAUUGGUUUUGUAGGUA